AGAAGCAAGAAGCUAAACGAGCUGCCAAAGCAGAGAUCUAUUCAAGGAAACCACAUUUGAUCCCGUCAGCACCAGAAAACGUGGAUGGAAAACGACUGAUUACACCUCAGAUACAAGGCAACCGAGGAUUGACCCGGCAACGCAACAAGG